rnacentral:rRNA from 1 species
GCACAAGCGGUGGAGCAUGUGGUUUAAUUCGACGCAACGCGAAGAACCUUACCUGGGUUUGACAUGUCGGUGGUAGGAAACCGAAAGGGGCCCGACCCCGUGAGGGGAGCCGACACAGGUGCUGCAUGGCUGUCGUCAGCUCGUGUCGUGAGAUGUUGGGUUAAGUCCCGCAACGAGCGCAACCCUCGCCCCUAGUUGCCAACGGGUCAUGCCGGGAACUCUAGGGGGACUGCCCCGGUUAACGGGGAGGAAGGUGGGGAUGACGUCAAGUCAUCAUGGCCUUUAUGUCCAGGGCUACACACGUGCUACAAUGGCCGGUACAAAGGGUCGCAAACGCGCGAGCAGAAGCUAAUCCCAAAAAGCCGGUCCCAGUUGGGGUCGCAGUCUGCAACUCGACUGCGUGAACGCGGAAUCGCUAGUAAUCGCGAAUCAGAAGGUCGCGGUGAAUACGUUCCCGGGC